GGAAGCACCAACAACAAACAAGCAUAAAGCGAGUAAAGCAGUUCUUUUUAAACACAACGAAAAAAGAAUGAGUGAAAUGAGAAAUAAAAUUACGAAGCAAACUGAAAAUAACAAAACAAAAACAAUGUCGAUGAAAUGAAACCAUUAGCAGAAUUAAUAAAGAGAAUUUAUAAAUAUUUCUGUUUUGGUUAUUAAUGAGCGUGCUUUUUUAAUCGCAUAGAUUCAUACAUAUUUUAAAUACGUGCAUACGUGAGACAUAUAUUUUUUUUUUAAUUUUUCAGAAAUUAAAUAAAGAUUAGUUAUGGCAAAGCUGUAUCGUGCAACAAACAAGACUGAUCAAAAGAGAUUGUAAAAUCGAUAACUCAAAACAGAACUACCUUUCUUUCAAGUUAUUAUCUGUUGGGUUAUGUUGCUGACGAUCUAAAAGAUCAGAAGCAAUCGAUGUCGACGACGGCGAAGACAACAAUGUGAGAUCAGCGUUGUCCACUUCCGAUCUGUUCACAUGCAUGCUAGUUGAUAUAGGCAUUUGAGCAUAACACAUUAAGGGAGUUGCAAGUACUGGCGUUAGAACAUUCAUUGCUACCACGUGUUCUUAUUAUUUGUAGGUUUUGUGCUCAUGAAAGUAUCUGUAGUGGCCGGGUCCAUCAAAUCUACAUUUGUUGGUGAAAACGCAGUUAUUCUCUCAGCAGCUAAAAUUGAUGAAUUUUGAAUGGCUUGUGGUUGUUGAUGGAACUGGUGCAUUAUCAUAGGCACCUGCGAGUCUUCAAAUGAAUCAUGAGAUAUAAAAGAUGACGUGGAUAAUGGGGACAUCAACGGGAAUUGAGCAGAUGAAGGUGAUGAUACUUGAACGUCGGGCAGAAAUAUUGCUGGAGUAUCCAAUGAACCGCUCAGAUAGCGCAUUAUUAAAUUAUCAGCAUCGUUAUCAUCGUCGUCGCC